rnacentral:rRNA from 1 species
CCUACGGGCGGCAGCAGUGAGGAAUAUUGGUCAAUGGACGAGAGUCUGAACCAGCCAAGUAGCGUGAAGGAUGACUGCCCUAUGGGUUGUAAACUUCUUUUAUAUGGGAAUAAAACGUUCCACGUGUGGGAUUUUGUAUGUACCAUAUGAAUAAGGAUCGGCUAAUUCCGUGCCAGCAGCCGCGGUAAUACGGAGGAUCCGAGCGUUAUCCGGAUUUAUUGGGUUUAAAGGGAGCGUAGGUGGGUUGUUAAGUCAGUUGUGAAAGUUUGCGGCUCAACCGUAAAAUUGCAGUUGAAACUGGCAGUCUUGAGUACAGUAGAGGUGGGCGGAAUUCGUGGUGUAGCGGUGAAAUGCUUAGAUAUCACGAAGAACUCCGAUUGCGAAGGCAGUUCACUGGACUGCAACUGACACUGAGGCUCGAAAGUGUGGGUAUCAAACAGGAUUAGAUACCCGUGUAGUC